AUUCCUCAACCUUCUGCAUUUCUUUGAUAGCAGAAGGCUUGGACUUUGGAGGUUCUUGCUGGCCUCUCCUUCUAGAAGCCAGCUCCUCUUAAAUGGAUUAGCAGGGUCUGCCUUUAGCUGAUCCUUGACGUGAUAAGCCAUUUCUACGUCUCGGAUUUGACUCUUUUGAGACCUGCUUCUAAUCGUCCGAGUCGCCCUUUCUUAACGGGGCGUACUUUUGGACCCACGAACCAU
rnacentral:misc_RNA from 1 species